UCCCACCCUUGUAGCUGCCGCUCCUGUGUAUCUGAGCCCUUUCAUGGGGCCUGACUGCAUCUGAAUAGCGGACAUUUCACUUCGGAGGUGGGAUUCUAUUACAAAUCAGACGCUUGUCAUUAUGCAAAUGGCUGUCUCACUAUUGCUUAGGAUUUUCGUUUUCCUAUGAAUUAUUCCUUUCUUCAGUGCUUUUUUUAUUCCCCGUGGAAGAAAUGAAAACAAGCGCUGGCUGAUCAAAGGAAUUUUCCAGUCAUUCAGUCAACAGAUAUUUCCUGAGUGUCUGUGCUGGGCCAGGAACUGUUCUAGUCUCAGGGAAACAGUGAGGAAAGGACCGUUUCUGCCGAAGUGGAGCUUGUAUUCCAGGGGAGGAAAGAAGCCAUCGACAAGAGAAUUAAUAAAUGACUUAUGAGAAUGAUACAUGCCAUAAAGACAAUAAAACAUGCUAAACCAAAUCCUAGCUGCUGCAGCCUUGGUGGUGACGUGCAAGGGAUGGUAUGGAUGUGCUUGUGGCAGACUGUGUGGUCCUUCCCAAUUCUUCAACUCUCAGUGUGCACACUCUUUGCCACGUGAUGUUGCUGUUUUUCCUAAUAAGUGCAGAAUGUCCUUCUUCACCUCCAUGGCUUUGCACUUGCCCAUGUGACCUGCUUUGGCCAAUGGGACAUCAGCAGGCAUGACGCAAGCACACCCUUGAAAUCUGCUUGUGUGGUUGGGCUUCACCCGUUGUGUUUCCAUCAUUGCCUUGAGACAACCCUGCCGUGAUUCAUCUGCUGGUCCAAAGAGAAGGUGAAACAUCUUGCAGACAUGUGAGCAAGAAUGAAUCAUUGUGGAAGCCACUCGAGUUCCUGGUGGUUUGUUACACAGCAUCACUGUGGCCACUGCUGACAGAUACAGUGUUCUCUCCCCCUUCAGUAGCACUAGAUGGUAGCGUCUCUCCAUUUCCCCUCCCGCUGCUCCUGAGCCUCUGCCCAGCAACUCUCCCUCCUGGUGAUCCCUCCUGUCCACAAACUCAAGGUUACUUAGAACAACCCUGGCUAUUUUCUAGACUCCAGGGCUGCUCAGCCCUGCCUCCUGCCUCAGUUCCAUCACUCUUGCCUGAAUUCUCCAGGAUUUGUGACUAGAAAGGAGAGAAGUCAUGUGUCAUCUGACUCUGAUGUUCUGCCUUUGUAAUGGUCAUGAAAGGAAGACACGGGGGUAGAGGCAAGCUCCAGAUGCCUUUUCAUCCAGCCCAGGAACCUGCUGAUGGUGGACACGAGGGAGACCCUGAGACGAUGGUGAUGGCUAGAGAAGGCAGGAGCUGGCCUCUGGGAGACGUCACACGCUGCUGAGUCCAGGGGCGUGCGUGUGCUUGAGUGUCCAGAGCAUCUCAACGUGCCUGGGGAAUUCAGGCAACACAAGCAUGUCCAACUCAGAGACUCACUUGUGUUUCUGAAAUCUGCAGCAGAAAUCAGCAAAAGGCAUCACACC
rnacentral:lncRNA from 1 species